rnacentral:lncRNA from 1 species
GCUCUGAGCACCAGCUCUGCCCCUAGCAGCUGCUGGGCUGGGGCAGGAAGGGGGAGAGUCCCCAUGGCCCCAGCAGCAAGCCCCUGCCUCUCUCCUGUCCGGCUGCUGCCCCACUCUGAGGCCCAGGUUCUCUUCUCCCAAGAGCGAGUGCGUUGGGAUCCAGACCUCGAGUAACCCUGUGCGAUGGCAGGCCUUCACCCUGGGACUGGCCAAGGGCCCUAGCCCCUUCAUCAGAGGUCACCCAUGACUCUCCCGCCCUCAUCCGUUUCUGCACAUUCCUCGCCAUGCCCAUCUCCCUCCUGCCCAUCCCGGAGCCCACCGGACUGCACAGCCAGCAUCAGCACAGCCUGUCCUGCUGAGUGGGGCUGCCUGCAGUCCAUGGCACGAGAUAGAGGCAGAACCUGGAGGCAGGCCGAGGUCGCCGCUACUCCUGGCCACUUCCAGACCACCCUGCCACCAUCCUCCCUUCAGUCCACGGUCCAGACUUCCUGGAAGGCACCUUGCAGCCUUCGUUUGCCGAAUUGUGAGAUGCGUUUGCUCACCGGCCUCCUCCCGCUGAGCGUCCCUGGUGUCUGACCCACCUCUGUUUCCUUCUGUAUGCACAGGUGUUUGUUGCAUGACUGAACGACAUUGAGGAGGGGACACGGCUCAGUAGAAACUUCCUUUAAGAUGCAUACAAGCUGCGGCAAAGCAAAGUCAAGGUCACCCCAUCUGGAAGCUACCUAGACCCCAGCAAUGUUACCUGACCUGUGACACCUUUGUUCCUGUGUCCUCCUCUGUGCCGCCCAUGGUGAAUGUGGCUUCUCUGUCUACAUGGAUGCACUCCCACCACACUGGGAGCUUCUGGGGCACAGGAGUCCUGCUUUACUUCCUAUGUUGAGCCCAGGUAGGUGGGGUGGGGGUGCUUAGAAGGCA